UUUAUUGCCUACCGAACUUCCUCUGCUCUCAAUCCCCUUUUUGUCUUAUAAUAACUUUGUAUUGCAUUUUACCUCAAUAAUUUUCUGUUGCCAUUUAAUGAAUACGAUAUUAGGUUUGCUUGUUUUUAAACGUUCAGGAAGAGUUGUGGUUCGUACAGUUUUUCAAACUUCACGGAACUCUCUGCACUGUUGUUUUGUAGUGUGUUCAGAAAUGGCUGUGACUGCUCUUAAGUUCCUGGCCAGUCCUUCUCCAGACUGUCGUCGUCGUCAUGAGGAGAGUCUGAGAAACUGUCACAGUCAAGAAGAGCCCAAGAAACAUGGCAGCUGGACAGAGUGUGAUGUCCUGCAGUUGUUCUGUGACAGGAGCUGCACUGGAGCACCUAGCAGCAAGGAGAGUUCAGCUCCAUGAAAACACAUGACAAACCCCAAGCAGGAAGAAGCCACCCGGCAUUAACCAUGGGCAUCGAGGAGCUGCCACCAUCUCAACAGUCAGCUCUCCAGGGAAACUCAGUGAUCAAACCAUAGGUCAGAUUUGAACUUGUGACUAUGUCUCACACUCUCUCCACUUGCUCAUCUUCUGAGGAGUCAAGAAGGCACGGAUGUGACAGAUUCAGCCCAGAAUGGGAGUAGGAGACAGCACCGCCAAAACAGUUAUUUUCCUGAAAUGUUUCUUCUGAGGUGCUGGGAACCCCAAGAUAAGAGUCCUGUAUUCAGGCGUGAGAGGCAGAAAAUGCAAUUUACCUGCAGCUCGAAAUGGAAAGAAGAAGAAGAAAAAGAGAAAAAAAAAAAAAAAGCAGAAAGUGAGUAUUCACAGUAGCUAAUGCACUACCCAUUUGAUUGCCUGCCUUCUCUUCCCUCAUUUUAGUCAUCAAAAUAGAUAAAGAAAAAGACUUUUCAUCUGAAGAUUGUUGCUGCUGCUGCUGUCCAAAUAGUGAGGUCUUUAAUUGGACAACAUCAAUUCUCACCUGCAAAAACAA